AUGAAAAAAUGUGACUUUUGCCCAAAUCGUGUCAAAAAAGAGCCAAUUUUACCCAAACUAUGUCAGAAAAACGUGAAUUUUGCCCAAACGAGGCUGAAAAAAGAGGUUUUGCCCCCAAAACAUCCCCCGUGCGUCACCUUGAGGAAGAUGCCGACGUUCUUGACCUUCUUCUUGACGGCGGUGAGGAUGAUGGCGGGGCCGUCCUGCGGGGAGGAAGAGGAGGAGGAGGAGGAUGAGAAGAAGAAGGAGAAGAAGAGGAGGAGGAGGAAGAGGAGGAGAAAAAAGAAGGAAGAGGAAGAUAAGAAGAAGAAGAAGGAGAAGAAGAAGAAAAAGGAGGAGGAGGAAGGAGAAGGAGAAGAAGGAGGAGAAGAAGAAGGAGGAGGAAGAGGAGGAGGAGGAAGAAGAGGAAGAGGAGGAGAAGAAGAAGAGAAGAAGGAGAAGGAGGUAAAAAAGGAGGAAGAGGAGGAAGAAAACAGAACAAGGAGGAAGAAGAGGAGGAAGAGGAGGAGGAGAAGAAGAAAAAGAAGAAGAAAAGAAAAAGAAGAAGAGAAGAAGAAAAAAAAAGAAAAAAGAAAAAAAGAAAAAAAGAAUAAAAAGAAAAAAAGAAAAAAAAGAAAAAAGAAAAAAAGAAAAGAAGAAAAAAAAAGAAAAAAGAAAAAAGAAAAAAGAAAAAAAGAAAAGAAAAGAAAAAAGAAAAAAAGUAAAGAAAAAACAAAGAAAAAAAGAAGAAAAGGAAAAAAGAAAAAACGAAGAAAAGAAGAAAAGAAAAAAAGAAAAGAAAAAAAGAAAAAAAGAAAAGAAAAAAAAGAAAAAAAGAAAAAAAAAGAAGAAAAGAAAAGAAAAAAGAAGAAAAAAGUAAAGAAAAAAACAAAGAAAAAAAAGAAGAAAAGGAAAAAAGAAAAAAACGAAGAAAAGAAAAAAAGAAGAAAAAAGAAAAAGAGAAAAAAAGAAGAAAAAGAAGAAAAAAAGAAAAAAAGCAAAGAAGAAGAAAAGAAAAAGAAGAAGUAG
rnacentral:lncRNA from 1 species